UUAAUGAGAGUUUGAUCCUGGCUCAGGACGAACGCUGGCGGCGUGCCUAAUACAUGCAAGUAGAACGCUGAGGUUUGGUGUUUACACUAGACUGAUGAGUUGCGAACGGGUGAGUAACGCGUAGGUAACCUGCCUCAUAGCGGGGGAUAACUAUUGGAAACGAUAGCUAAUACCGCAUAAGAGUAAUUAACACAUGUUAGUUAUUUAAAAGGAGCAAUUGCUUCACUGUGAGAUGGACCUGCGUUGUAUUAGCUAGUUGGUGAGGUAAAGGCUCACCAAGGCGACGAUACAAAGCCGACCUGAGAGGGUGAUCGGCCACACUGGGACUGAGACACGGCCCAGACUCCUACGGGAGGCAGCAGUAGGGAAUCUUCGGCAAUGGACGGAAGUCUGACCGAGCAACGCCGCGUGAGUGAAGAAGGUUUUCGGAUCGUAAAGCUCUGUUGUUAGAGAAGAACGUUGGUAGGAGUGGAAAAUCUACCAAGUGACGGUAACUAACCAGAAAGGGACGGCUAACUACGUGCCAGCAGCCGCGGUAAUACGUAGGUCCCGAGCGUUGUCCGGAUUUAUUGGGCGUAAAGCGAGCGCAGGCGGUUCUUUAAGUCUGAAGUUAAAGGCAGUGGCUUAACCAUUGUACGCUUUGGAAACUGGA
rnacentral:rRNA from 1 species